AUGCGAAUGCUACUAAUUGCACAGCCAGCCUUGUAAGGCCUGUUUUUUUCCUCCCCCCCAUGCCGUACAGUAAGUUGGGGAUAAAUGGGAUAGGAACAAGCCUUCUCUCAAAAUAUAAGCCACUGAAAUCAAAUAAGUGCUGAUGAUGGAUAAAUCCUGAGGUUUUCCAAAGUAGGUCUGGACCUCAUAAUUUUAAUGUAGUUGGAGAGAAAUCUGAUUGCACUGAGCAAUCAUCAGACAUGAGUUGUGUUGUAAAAGUUAGGUACCAGGAGCAAAGCCGGCCAGCAGGCAACUGUUUCAGUAACUUGGGAUGGCUAGAAAGGACUGAUCGGGUUAAUCAGUGUGUUCACGACCUAGGCAGGCAGUCUUAUGCAACUGAUACUUAAGGGGCUAGAAGGCACAGAAGAAACUAAUGGGCAGGUUGGGGAUUUUUGCUGGGUUUGGGGAGGGCCAAAAGGAAGUUUUUCUCUUUGCAGUGGCAAGCAUCAAGUGUUUUCUUGAUUUUCUCUGAAUUGUUGUUGUUCUGUGUAUUCUAGUUAGACUAUUAUUUCUUUAGCAAAAGUGAGAAUUUUCGGGAGCUGGUGAGAUGGCUCAUUGGUUAAGAGCACUGGCUGCUCUUCCCAAGGUCCUGAGUUCAAAUCCCAGCAACCAUCCAUAACGAGAUCUGAUGCCCUCUUCUGGUGUGUCUGAACACAGCUACCAUGUACUUACAUAUAAUAAAUAAUCUUAAACC
rnacentral:lncRNA from 1 species